CACUACUACCAACCACAUAUGGCAAGAUGAGUAACGACUAAACCCUUGAGAAAUUAACAACUGGAUCAUGGAGACACUGCUGUUACAGCAGUAAAGGGCAGCAGUGGCCAGCACAUGGCAGUCCAGGGUGGCAACAACAGUGGACAGGACAGUGUCCAGGGUGGCAGCAGUGGCCGGCCUAGGACAGGACAGUGUCCAGGGUGGCAGCAGC